GACGAAGGGGGCUAGCGUUGUUCGGAAUUACUGGGCAUAAAGCGCGUGUAGGCGGUUGCCCAAGUCGGGUGUGAAAGCCUUGAGCUCAACUCAAGAAAUGCACUCGGUACUGGGUGACUAGAGGACCGGAGAGGAUAGUGGAAUUCCCAGUGUAGUGGUGAAAUACGUAGAGAUUGGGAAGAACACCAGUGGCGAAGGCGGCUAUCUGGACGGUUUC
rnacentral:rRNA from 1 species